rnacentral:rRNA from 1 species
GCUGUCCUUAGUACGAGAGGACCGGGAUGGACGCACCUCUGGUGCACCAGUUGUCACGCCAGUGGCACAGCUGGGUAGCUAUGUGCGGACGGGAUAAGCGCUGAAAGCAUCUAAGCGUGAAGCCCCCUUCAAGAUGAGACUUCCCAUAGCGCAAGCUAGUAAGACCCCUUAUAGACGAUGAGGUUGAUAGGUUCGGUGUGGAAGUGCAGUAAUGCAUGGAGCUGACGAAUACUAAUCGGUCGAGGACUUAUCCACA